rnacentral:lncRNA from 1 species
UAACAUUCAUCAUUAGUAUCUGUGUUGGCUAAGUCUUAGUCGUCAUAGUUAGAAGAUACUAUUUUCAUGAUUGACUAUUUUCAACACGUCUACUUUGUUAAUGGCUAAAAAUCCAUAUCCAUUACAUUAGGUGUGCGUUUGGUUUUUUUAUACCUCCUAAUGAAGAAAAUUCGAAAUUUCAUGCACUUUGCUCUUUCUCUUAAUCGAGAUUGAUUAGUAAGAGAUGACAUUUAGAAUAAUUACGUUACGUCAUUGACUUACAAAAUAUAUUAUUUUUGUGACUUUCCACUAUUAUGGAUUUGGGUAAACAAAGAGCACUUAUUCUCCACGAAAAUACACUUUUGACCUUUAAUUUCUCUUUCACGUUUCCUCACUCAACCACCAAAUGUAUUACAACAAAUAUCCACCUUUAUUUAACUUAUUCAAAUUCAACAUAGUAUACAUCAAAUUAACACGUACGGAAUUAACUAUCAUCCAUUUAUUAUACACUUAUACAUAAAGCAAAUAUGUUUUCUUCAAGUAAGUAAUCUCCAUAUACCGAUAUCCAUUACAUACGCCUGCGACUAGCUCCAAACAAAUCCGCCACCACCCGCCACCCCGACUGCCAUUCCAACACUAUCAAAUGCCCAUCGGGCAUUAGUUUCAUAUACUGAGCCGAUGAUGCUAGCGGCACCCGAAUCACACCAUCCGGACGACUCGGCUCGGCUGAAUGAAUGAACAAAGCCAAACUUCCAUUGAGGAACCUAACAUAGCUUCUUUCAUCACUUGUAUCAUCUCCAUUGACCAAAUAACUAUAAUAAACUUGACGUGGGUUCGUCGUUUCAAGAUAACCAAACAAACCCUGAUUAGUAACUUCAACAGAAUACAAACCUUUUCCCCAGUUUGUUGAAGAAACACUAGCAAUCAGCUUCU